GUUGAAACACCGGUUCCUGUGCGAUCAUCGAAGUUAAGCAACGUUGAGCCUGGUAAGUACUUAGGUGGGUGACCGCUUGAAAAUAAUAGGUGCUGUAAU